GUUCAAAGGGCCACUAUCGGUGAUCAUACGAACAGACUUUGUUUCUGUUUUUUUCAACGUACAUACCACUGGGCGAAAGUCCCCGGGCUCUGAGGCAGAGAGUGCCAACCUUAACCAGGUCGGACCUCCGCGACGGCACUUGCACUGUCACUUGUGACGUGUGCUUGUUGCCCGCGGGGUAGAUAGCCAAAGUUACAGUUAUGUGGCCAGUUAGCCGAUUUUCUUUCCUGUAAAGAGAAGACGCUUUCCAACUCAACGGGGCUUACUCUUGGGC
rnacentral:RNase_MRP_RNA from 1 species